GUGGGGCAGGACAGGCCUGGGAAGAUAAGGAGCACAGGGUUGAGAAGGCAGGAAGAGAGUUGAAGGAACCACUGAAAGUGAGAGAGAAUGUUGUCCUGCGAUUUACUUCAGUGUCCAGCCCAGGUGAACCUUGGAGUGGAAAAGUGGGAACUGUGACUACCCCAUCACUCUUAUACCCAGCUGGUUCAGUCAAAUGAAAUUAAUUUCUGUACACAAUCUAGAAGGUCAGUGAUUUGAUGUUCUUGAAAAACAAGGGAUAUGCAGUUAGAAGCUGCAGGUGGACGGGGAAAAGGCUGGCCUGAGAAUCUCCAAAGAGUCCUGAUGAACAAAGGAUAUCCUUCUGCAAGAUGCUGGAAGCUAAAGAAACAGAAGGACAAAACUGUGUCAGAGUGCCCAGCUGUGUCAGGACACCCCUUGCACAGAAGUCUGCACUGAGUAAAGGAAAGUUGUGAAUGAACCUCAGCGUGCUCACUGGCAAAGUCAAGGUGUGACAACACUGGGCACUACCCAGAGAAUGCCAGGAAGAAUGAAAGCAGAAGGAAUGGCAAACAAAUGAGACCACACAACAGCAGCCUAAAGCAGAGAGGUUCGUCAUUGCACAUCUCCAAGUUCAAAAUGAAGGUCAGACUGGAAAGGAAUAGAAGUAUUCUUUCCUCCUUCCUCCCAAGAGUUUUGCUUCGUACAGCUCAAAACAAAUACAGGUUCAGGAUUAUGAAAUCCCUCGGAGGAGUAAGAUGACUGCAACAAAUGUCACGAAGGAAGAUGAAUAACAAAACCAAAUAAAUGGAUUCAAC
rnacentral:lncRNA from 1 species